GACGAACGCUGGCGGCGUGCCUAAUACAUGCAAGUCGAACGAACCGCGACUAAGUGCUUGCACUAAGUCAAGGUGAGUGGCGAACGGGUGAGUAACACGUGGGUAACCUACCUCAUAGUGGGGGAUAACAGUCGGAAACGACUGCUAAUACCGCAUAGGACAUAGGAUCACAUGAUCCAGUGAGGAAAGGUGGCGCAAGCUAUCGCUAAGAGAUGGACCCGCGGUGCAUUAGCUAGUUGGUAGGGUAAAGGCCUACCAAGGCGAUGAUGCAUAGCCGACCUGAGAGGGUGAUCGGCCACAUUGGCACUGAGACACGGCCCAAACUCCUACGGGAGGCAGCAGUAGGGAAUCUUCCGCAAUGGACGCAAGUCUGACGGAGCAACGCCGCGUGAGUGAAGAAGGUCUUCGGAUCGUAAAGCUCUGUUGUUAGAGAAGAACAGCGCAUAGAGUAACUGCUAUGCGUGUGACGGUAUCUAACCAGAAAGCCACGGCUAACUACGUG
rnacentral:rRNA from 1 species